GCCCUGGGGUGUAACACGUCAAAGUGCAAAUUUGAAGAAGAGCCCUAUUCGGCUCCGGGGCU
rnacentral:tRNA from 1 species